GGGGAUGUCCCGGUUUCGACGGAAUUGGGAAAUCUUGCACUGCAGGUAAGGGUGAAGGUCCUUUAAACUGACAAAAAAAUAACUGCAAUUUUCGCAAGAAAAGAAGAAGAAGCUGAAGAAGUUUCUUUCGCAGAAGCACUCGCUGCUUAAGUAGCCGUGCAGGAACCCAAUCGGCCCUGUUCCGCGUUGGUUGGUGUUCUUUUACCUAUCGGGACUUGCUGACUAUAGUUUCUAUAAUGUAGUCGGGACUCUUUAUUAGAAUAAGGGAACGACGCUUGUUAUGCUGCUACCGGUCCCCGACAACCACCUCGCAUAACUAAACCCGUAGAUGUGCCUGGUUUACUUUUUCGGACGGGGGUUCAAUUCCCCCCAUCUCCA
rnacentral:tmRNA from 1 species